CUGGACUGUGUCCCAGUCAGCAGAAGAAAGAGUCCCCAAUGUGCCAGACUCAUGCCUUUGUGUCGAUUGCAGUGUCUACCUUCAGUGUAUACAUCACGUGCAUUGAAUGAGAACACACUUAUCAAAUCCUUAAAAUGAAGCACUUCGAGAAGAAGAUGACGACAGAUCUGGCUGCCGUUGUUGAGGAGAACUGUCAUGUACAAGGCUGACUUUAAAGCAGUGCUGUUGAGUGUGGGGAGUGUCCCGUGAGA
rnacentral:lncRNA from 1 species